ensembl:lncRNA
CCUGCCGCCCCUCCACUUUAACCACUAGGCUACCCUGCCGCCCCUCCACUCUAACCACUAGGCUACCCUGCCGCCCCUCCACUCUAACCACUAGGCUACCCUGCCGCCCCUCCACUCUAACCACUAGGCUACCCUGCCGCCCUCCACUCUAACCACUAGGCUACCCUGCCGCCCCUCCACUCUAACCACUAGGCUACCCUGCCGCCUCCACACUCUAACCACUAGGCUACCCUGCAGCCCCUCCACUCUAACCACUAGGCUACCCUGCCGCCCCUCCACUCUAACCACUAGGCUACCCUGCCGCCCCUCCACUCUAACCACUAGGCUACCCUGCCGCCUCUACAAUCUAACCACUAGGCUACCCUGCCGCCCCUCCACUCUAACCACUAGGCUACCCUGCCGCCCCUCCACUCUAACCACUAGGCUACCCUUCCGCCCCUCCACUCUAACCACUAGGCUACCCUGCCGCCCCUCCACUCUAACCACUAGGCUACCCUGCCACCUCUACACUCUAACCACUAGGCUACCCUGCCGCCCCUCCACUUUAACCACUAGGCUACCCUGCCGCCCCUCCACUCUAACCACUAGGCUACCCUGCCGCCCCUCCACCCUAACCACUAGGCUACCCUGCCGCCCCUCCACUCUAACCACUAGGCUACCCUGCCGCCCCUCCACUCUAACCACUAGGCUACCCUGCCGCCCCUCCACUCUAACCACUAGGCUACCCUGC